UACAGAGGUUUCAAGCGUUGUUCGGAUUUACUGGGCGUAAAGGGCGCGUAGGCGGCAUGACAAGUCACUUGUGAAAUCUCCGGGCUUAACUCGGAACGGUCAAGUGAUACUGUCGCGCUAGAGUGCGGAAGGGGCAAUCAGAAUUCUUGGUGUAGCGGUGAAAUGCGUAGAUAUCAAGAGGAAUACCUGAGGUGAAGACGGGUUGCUAGGCCGACACUGACGCUGAAGCGCGAAAGCCAGGGGAGCAAACGGG
rnacentral:rRNA from 1 species